GGUUGUGGCUCAGUGGCAGAGCGCUUGCCUCACACAUGUGAGACACUGGGUUUGAUCCUCAGCACCA
rnacentral:tRNA from 1 species